CCUCAAAUGGGAAAAGGUACUUACCACAGAAAUUGAGUUUGAAAGCAGUGUUCCAUCUUGGCCUAGCAUGUUGGAUACAGUAAUUUCAGGUGCUGCUAGAAGACAUGAUUAAAUGAAGAAGUACUAGGAACAUCUGGAACUGAGGCAGGUCCUGAAGAAAGCAGGAAGAGCAUGUAGAUGUUACCAGAAUGGGAUUUUGUGGAAGUACCACAUAAAUGAUAUAUCGGCAUAACCUGGCCUCAUGGACAAGAUGCAGGACCCAGGAUAUUGUGAGGAUCAAAAUGCUGUCAAAAUUAGGGAUUAUUUCAUAAACAGAGAGAUGAGUCAUACAAGAGAGGACAAAAGAGACCUUGCAGAAUUGGAAAGGUUUCUGAUGGAGAUACAACCAGCAAGUAAAAGAAGAUCAGUGUGAGUCAUGGAAGUUCCAGAAAAUUGCAAGAGGCAGAAGAAAUGGGAGGGGGAAAAGGGUAAAGUAUCUAUCCAAAGAGAUGGAAUGGAGUCAUUACAAGAAGAGUAGAAACUGAAAUGUUUUCUUUGGGGAAGAAGGAAUAUAGUCUCAGAGAAGAGGAAGAGAUAAGAGGUGACAGAGUUACCUUAAGAAGACCUUGUAGGAGCCUCAGUUUUCACAUAAUUAAGAGAAAUAAAAAUAAGAAAAAAGAGAAGUAAUCUUUGAUGGUCAAGAAGGGGCAUUGAUGAUAUAUUACUGUUUGUUAAUAUCUUUCAACUCUU